AGAGUUUGAUCCUGGCUCAGAACGAACGUUGGCGGCGUGGAUUAGGCAUGCAAGUCGAACGAAUCCCCAGCAAUGGGGGGAAGUGGCGAAAGGGGCAGUAAGGUAUGGGUAACUUGCCCCGGAGACUGGGAUAGCCUUCCCAACGGAAGGGUAAUACCAGGCACCGUAGCGAGAGGGCAUCCCCUUGCUACGAAAGGAAU
rnacentral:rRNA from 1 species